rnacentral:rRNA from 1 species
GUGAACACGUAACAUAACGCUGCCGGGGAGUUCCAUCUCCUCGGCCCUGCCGGCCCCAGAUUAUUGGCUGGGUGUCGGAAUACGGCGCGGGAUGUCGCCAAGGAACACUGAUUUGCUGAGGCAGCCGACAAUACGCUCGUACUGCUGACGCCAACUUAACAUUAUGACUCUCGGCAACGGAUAUCUCGGCUCUCGCAUCGAUGAAGAACGUAGCGAAAUGCGAUACGUGGUGUGAAUUGCAGAAUCCCGUGAACCAUCGAGUCUUUGAACGCAAGUUGCGCCCGAGGGAUCCUCCCGAGGGCACGCCUGCCUGGGCGUUAGAAGCCCAUCAACGCUCUGUCAACCUUUUUAUUGACUUGACGUGGACAAUGGACCUCCGAGCCAGUAAUGGCACGGUGGGCUGAAGUGAAUGGUCGUCGGAUGGUAACAGGAUCGGCGAGUGGUGGGCUACUGCGCAUGCCAAUCCCGGCUGCCAUUUGGACGUUAUGGCCCUCUACACCCCAGUCGAAACGAGGGGAUUGUUGUCACACUCCAUCCUUGUUGCCGGGCACAAUUUCGGACCAAUACCCCAGGUCAGGCGGGGCCACCCGCUGAGUUGAAG